rnacentral:rRNA from 1 species
GACGAACGCUGGCGGCGUGCCUAAUACAUGCAAGUAGAACGCUGAAGGAGGAGCUUGCUUCUCUGGAUGAGUUGCGAACGGGUGAGUAACGCGUAGGUAACCUGCCUGGUAGCGGGGGAUAACUAUUGGAAACGAUAGCUAAUACCGCAUAAUAGUAGAUGUUGCAUGACAUUUGCUUAAAAGGUGCAAUUGCAUCACUACCAGAUGGACCUGCGUUGUAUUAGCUAGUUGGUGGGGUAACGGCUCACCAAGGCGACGAUACAUAGCCGACCUGAGAGGGUGGUCGGCCACACUGGGAAUGAGACAGGCCCCAAACGCCUGCGGGAGGAACAAGGAGGGAUUCUUGGGAAAGGGCGGGAAGUCUAACCGAGCACCGCGGCGGGGUGGAGAAGGGUUUUCGGAUCGAAAGGCUCGUUUGAAGGAGAAGAACGAGGGGGGGAGGGAAAACUCCACACUGUGAGGUUAGCUAACAAAAAGGGGACGACAAACUCCGUC